rnacentral:misc_RNA from 1 species
GAUGAAGAACGUAGCGAAAUGCGAUAAGUAGUGUGAAUUGCAGAAUUCAGUGAAUCAUCGAAUCUUUGAACGCACAUUGCGCCCUUUGGUAUUCCAAAGGGCAUGCCUGUUCGAGCGUCAUUUGUACCCUCAAGCUUUGCUUGGUGUUGGGCGUCUUGUCUCUAGCUUUGCUGGAGACUCGCCUUAAAGUAAUUGGCAGCCGGCCUACUGGUUUCGGAGAGCAGCACAAGUCGCACUCUCUAUCAGCAAAGGUCUAGCAUCCAUUAAGCCUUUUUUUCAACUUUUGACCUCGGAUCAGGUAGGGAUACCCGCUGAACUUAAGCAUAUCAAUAAGCGGAGGA